rnacentral:lncRNA from 1 species
UAAAACUGAAGCUUAUUACAUAGGAAGAGUUACAUUUAUUACAAGUCCUGAUAUACUCAAAGUGCAUAACUUAUUACAAUAGCAGGAAGGUAGGAACCCUCCAAAGCUUAUACACAAGCCUAACUAAUCCUCCCCCAGAACUGGAAACGCCCUCCAGCCACAGGAACACUUAGAGUACUUCUCAUCACCUACAACAACAUGGGUUCGAAAACCCUGAGUACGGAGUGUACUUUCGCAAGCCUUACCCGACUAAGGGAAAAUGACUCUCAAGGAUAUGCUGGUUAAAUAGGAAUCAAGGAAAAGGCUUUAGCAAGAAUCAACUUAGAUACUUUUGCAGAAAUAGCUUACUAAAGUGAGUCCUUACUUUCAAUAUUUUAACGCCAGAUUAAAUAUUAAUAGACUCUGGUUGCAUCUAGUAUAAUUUCACCAUCUCAUCAAUACAACAUCAUUUUUAUUCCUAAUGUUUGCAUCCUGACUUAGGUUGCAGGGCAGCGAUCAAGUCUCCACUCUUCGGGGAUAUAACGGUGAUCCGAAUCGAUUUACUCAGCUGAGGAUCUCUAACCACAUGACAUAUGUAGCACUUAACCUUUGCAUAUGUCAACCGUUCCCACGGAUCCUCCACUGCAUGAACAGGUCCGCGCCACCCGAGAGCACACCACCCCUUUUAGGCGGUCCUUUGCCAGGAGGGUACGUGCCACUCUCGCCAUCUCUCCACUCCCAGUGCGUGAUUGUCUUUUCAUGUAUGGAAUAGCCGGGUUCAAGCUUACCCUGUCCCAUAUCCAGGGCAUGUGGCCAGUUAAGAUAGUCCUUGAUCAUACAUGCCUACAUACGCAUCCAAUCCUUAAUUAACCUGGACGGAACAUCACCUGUUCCUAGCCCAAGUCCUGAUUUAAGUACUUCCAUCCUUAGGAUUGUCUGUGUUCCUUAGGAUGAAAAGAGCAUUAUAGGGAACUUUGCAGUAAGAUCCCACUAUGCUCCCAAUAAAAAUAUAUUCUUGCAGGUAGAAGCCGUCCUUUCUCAGGAUAACCCCUGAGCUAGGCAUUAAUGCAAAAGACAACCUCUAUCCACAAGAUCUAAGCAGGGCUAAGCAUUUUUGUAAAUCAUAUUUUGAUACUUCAUCAGAAGUAUCUAUAAAGGUAUGGAUAUCAAGGUAGGCAAUGCAUCCAAUAGUUUCCAAGCAACUCCUAUAAACUUAAUGCACAUUUCACUAGACUUAAAGUGUAUAAAAAUCUUUUAAAAACACAAGGAAGGGGUUGCAUGCACCGGGGCUUGCCUUUGUUGCAGUGAGGAGGUUCUAGAUCCUUCUACCCAACCUUUAGUUAGAUAGCUCCAUCCACUUGAUGAGCAGGCACUGGAGCAGACUCCUCUUCAGAAACUACUUCUUGAAUUUCAUCUUCUUCUGGGAAUUCUACAUGUAAAGAUAUGAACAUGAAUGCUUAUGCUGAUGCAACUUGAAAAGAAAAUACUAAAAAACAUCACAAGACUUACACCUCUCUAAAGGUGCAUACAAAAACUAACAAAACUUUAAGAGAGCUAAAUACUCUAAUAUCACAACACAAUUCACCAACCAAACUAGGAAACCUUGCCUCCAUAACCAACCAAGUGCUUCAUUUAUGCCUUAAGCAAGGAACCAAACUGCAUGUACUACAAGUUAUAGUGUCCAAGAAUCAGCCAUAAUUCACUGAACCUGUUUUCAGUUCUCUGAAUUCAUAUUCCAUUGCUCCAUUCCUCUCCCUCUGUUCAGUGCUUUGUAACUCACAAAUUCCCUCAACAACAAACCUAACUCAUUUACUCAAAGUUAUUCUCUAGACAUAGCUCUACCACUUUGGCAUAGCAUCCCCAGACUGAAACCAUACUAAUCAAAAGUUAUGAUGCCACAAAAUAGAGCAAAAUCACAGAAAAGUUCAGUUUCAGUGAACUGAAACAGCACUGCACCCACUCUGGCAGAGAAGUUUGGGAUACCUUUUUACUGCCAACUUAUACAGUAGCAAGCCCAUUCUUUGUAUGAAACUUGUUGUCCUUGAUGUGGUCUUUUAUCUGGAUGUGGAAUCCCUAACCCAAUUCUCUUGGAGUAAUUAUCACAAGGCUCCAAAGUUAGGAGAAAAACACAGGAUCAUAGUGACAGAAAUUGAAUCAGCACACCACUGAUCCCUUACAGACCUCCCCGUUCAGAUCCCUUGAUCACCUAAUUUCACUUAGCAACAAAUCAAGUCAACUUAACAAAAGUUAUUCUCAACCCACUGGUCAGCAACAACCAUUUAACAGUGCCUUAGGAUAUUAUUACAGGUUGCAGGCCAUCACUGAAUUUGUUCUGGCUCAUACUGUCAAGACCAACAGAUAAGGAUUUACUGCCCAGAAAACAGUCCAAAAUCCUGGAUAUUUUCAAUAGAGAGUAAGGAUUCUAGACCUCAGUUAGGAACCUCGACUCUAUCUCAAUUUAUAUUACCAUAUGAGGCAGAACAUGGAGAUAGGGGCCUACUUUAGAAUCCUACAUCAACACUAAUCACUCGCACCAGCCCUGCUGCCCCAUCUGCACACUUCCAUGUUCAGUCCCUGAUAUCUCCCAAUUCCCCUCAACAAGAGACCAACCUUUCUUAACCAAAAUUACUCUCCAAUUAUAGCCAUUCCUAUUUGGUAUAACACUCCAAGGCUCAAAAUACUCAGAACAAGAGUUGUGGUGCACUGAAGUUGAGUAAAAAAUAAUAAAAUAUCCUGUCUCAGCUAACUGAAUAGCCCCAUACUAACUUUGUCAGGGAGUUUUGUAGCACCAUUUUCUCUCAAAUUGGUGUAGUACCAAUCCAAGCUUCCCUAAGUAAAGUUGUUCACUAAUAUUUGGUCUCCAAGUUUACUAUAGAAACUAUAGUAUAAAGUCUCUCAGAUUAAUCACCAAACAACUCCAAACUAAGCACCAUAUGCUGCAAUACAGAUUUCAGAAAUUGAACAAACUCAAUCUUCGGUAACCUGACAGCCCAACUUUAGGCAGCUUUUACUCCAAUUUUCAUAUAACAUCCAACAAGACUGCCUUAAGGAGAUUUGUUCAUCAUCAUAUGAGCUUCACUAUCUGAUGUAGAGCACAAAACAUGUAUAGCUCGGCUAAGGAAACUUUGAAAGUUACCUGGUUACGGCGAGGUGGACUAAUUGCCAACGAUGGUCACCACCUAGGGACUGGGCAAACUUGGGCAGGGGAGAGGUGAACACUGGUGUGGACAGAAGAUUUACCACCCACACACACGCUGCAACCUGGCUGGAGCUUGAGGAUAAGGAGGAAAACUUCCCUGGACCAAGUUUUAUAGCCACAGAUUAAGGACAGAUGUCACUGAAC